GACGUAGGGCGCGAGCGUUGUCCGGAAUUAUUGGGCGUAAAGAGCUCGUAGGUGGUUUGUUACGUCUGCUGUGAAAACCUAGGGCUUAACCCUGGGCUUGCAGUGGAUACGGGCAGACUAGAGGUAGGUAGGGGAGAAUGGAAUUCCUGGUGUAGCGGUGAAAUGCGCAGAUAUCAGGAGGAACACCGGUGGCGAAGGCGGUUCUCUGGGCCUUACCUGACACUGAGGAGCGAAAGCGUGGGGAGCGAACAGG
rnacentral:rRNA from 1 species